GUAACUCUGCUUCUCAAUUUUCUGACAAAGCCGCCAUCUUGGUGCUGCAGGAAAGCCGUUUGAGAUAUUGGUGAAAUUCAAACACUUUGUGAGAUGACAGAAUAUUGCUGAAGGAUCCUGCAUGGAAGCUGGCUGAUUACACGGAGUGAUUCCUCUGGUGUGGUGUACCUCAGAGAGAUAAACACUGUUGCAAGAGCUGAGAAGAUAUCCUUAUUACUGGAUGGUUGCUCUCUGGUCGUACUUGAGCCCCCUGGACCAUGUCUGCAAAUGCUUCUGAACAUUGACAGAAUUUCUAAAGGAUCGCUGAGGACUCCCCCUCCAUGCGUGACAUCUUUGAGAAAUUUCCACGCUUUCUGGAGAUGCCAAGUUUGACUGGAACCAACUUUGCAUCCCUCGGCACUGACACUGAGAAGGUUUCAAGGACCCCACUACUAGGAGGCGAGAGUUUGACACGGCAGUGUCAUCACUGCCAUGGAUGACAACGUAACCAUUCCUGUUGAUGAUUGCCUGACUUGCGCAGUGACAAGCUUUUCAUGCUCUACUGGGUGUGUAACUUGGCAUAUCCACCACAGUUUAACUCAGUUUUUGCCUCUUUUGAAUAUGUGUACGAUAUAACCAUCUCAACCAACAAGUGGGCCAAGGUACUGGAACAUUUCUCACUUCAAGUUGCUCUGUAGUCACAGGACAUUUUUUUUUAAACAUCUACGCAGACACCACCACUCCACACCAUGUGUAUUUUAAUUACUUCUGAUUCCACUGACAUGCAGACUACAUCCUAUGCAAAUUCAGGUAAUUUACCUGGUACUGGAGAAACAGCAUUGUAUGCCAUUCUAAGUGAUACUUGCCUCCUUGUUUUGCAAAAAUGUACUGUUCUUUGAAUAUAACUUAAAGUAAGAUCAUGUUGACAAUGAGGUUUUCUCCGGUUGUCAAGCACAACCUUAACGUUUUGUAAGUAAGUAAUAGUCACAGAAUAUGCAUGCAUUUGUAAUUUGAAUUUUCGUUGAAAACGGCUCACCAAGCCUAAAAUGUUACCUCUGCUUUUGAUUUUUCUUUUUUUUUAAA